GGAUUCUAGUAGGAGUAUACUGGGUGUUUUAGAAGGCACUUGAUAAAGAUUCAUCUCUUCCUUCUAGCAUGGAGACUCCUAGCCUUCUAAACACCUAUACUAGUUUUCCAAACUAUAAUAGGUUCUCUAAUGACCCACCACUGCCUAAAGUUUACUUACAUAUUCUCUAAUGGAUUUUAGUAUGACAGACCUCAUCACAGGCUUAGUCAUGACAGACUUAAGCUAUGUCUAGGAGAAUAAAAGCUGAGUUGCCGUUCCUUAGAAAUGAUUGGCAGAGGAUCUCAAUGUUUAAGGAAAAGGUGAACACUCAGAAUGCCAGUAAUAAAUCUGAAGGAUCUAUUUCUGAUGAAUUAUAGACUAGGAAUUAGA
rnacentral:lncRNA from 1 species